GCUUUUAGAUAAUCCCUUAUUAGGCUUCGUUUGGUUCGGGGUUAAGUAAGAACUAGUUAUUUCAGUAAUAGGAUUAAGUUCAGGAUUAAGGUGGGUUAGAGUAAUUUUGUAUUUGGUUGAGAAUUGAGUUUAGUCUAGGUAUAAGUAAAAUAGUGUUUGGUUGGAGUAAGUGGAAUAAAAAGGACAGUAGGUAAUUAUAAAUAGAAAAUAAUGAUAUUGCCCCAAUUAUUAUAUUUGAAUUUAAAUUUAAAAUUUAAAUAAUUAAGAAUAAUAAUUUAAAUUUUAAAAUUUAAAAUUAAAAUCUAUAUUUUUUAAAUAUCAAACUUAAAAAUUUAAAGUUACGAAUAUAAAAUAUCAAAUUUAAAAUUUAAAUAAUUAAAAAUAAUAAUUUAAAAUUCCAAAUUCCAAAUUCAAAUUUAAAAUCUAUAUUUUUAAAUCUCAAAUUUAAAAAUUUAAAGUUACAAAUAUAAAAUACCAAAUUUAAAAUUUAAAUAAUUAAAAAUAAUAACAAAUUUUAAAUUUUAAAUUUUUAAUAUUAAAAAGUAAAUAUUAAUUUUAAAAUUUAAAAUUUAAAAUUUAUAUUUAUAUUUAAAGAUUAAAUAGGUGUGGGAUUAAGUCGGGAUUAACAUAAUCCCACCCCUAUUCCUGGGGUGCACCCCGAAAAUUCUUGUUUGGUGUUAAGACUUAGUUUGGUAUUGAGGCCUAUUUAAUGCUGUUCGAUAAAAUGAAGUUGAGGAAAAAGCAUAUAGAGAUAUGCUUCUGCGCUCUCCGGUGGGACCACAGAAAAUAUAUCAUAAUCGACUCAUCACGACAUGCGGAACGCAAUAUUACGCACGGAAAUAAAUAUGGUAUUUUUUCAACGUACUUUCUCACCGCACGUAACGCAAUCUUUUCGUAAUUCCAAACGAAGCCUAAAGGGGAUAACCUCCCCUUAUCCCCCUUUAAUUCCGAACUAAACGGUAUCUUAGAUAACAGACAAUCGACUACAAU
rnacentral:lncRNA from 1 species